UGGGGAAUUUUGCGCAAUGGGGGAAACCCUGACGCAGCGACGCCGCGUGGAGGAUGAAGGUCUUCGGAUUGUAAACUCCUUUUGUCGGGGAAGAUAAUGACGGUACCCGAUGAAUAAGCCACGGCUAACUCUGUGCCAGCAGCCGCGGUAAGACAGAGGUGGCAAGCGUUGUUCGGAAUUACUGGGCUUAAAGGGCGCGUAGGCGGUGGAGUAAGUCUGAGGUGGAAGAUUAGGGCUUAACCCUAAAAUUGCCUUGGAAACUGCAUCACUUGAGUCAGCGAGGGGAUGGCGGAAUUCCAGGUGUAGCGGUGAAAUGCGUAGAUAUCUGGAGGAAGGCCGGUGGCGAAGGCGGCCAUCUGGCGCUGAACUGACGCUGAGGCGCGAAAGCGUGGGGAGCAAACAGG
rnacentral:rRNA from 1 species